rnacentral:rRNA from 1 species
CGCGUAGGCGGCCCGUUAAGUGGCUGGUGAAAUCCCGCGGCUCAACUGCGGGGCUGCCGGUCAGACUGGCGAGCUAGAGCACGGUAGGGGCAGAUGGAAUUCCCGGUGUAGCGGUGGAAUGCGUAGAGAUCGGGAAGAAUACCAGUGGCGAAGGCGUUCUGCUGGGCCGUUGCUGACGCUGAGGCGCGACAGCGUGGGAGCAAACA